UACGGAGGGUGCAAGCGUUAUCCGGAUUCACUGGGUUUAAAGGGUGCGUAGGUGGGUUGGUAAGUCAGUGGUGAAAUCUCCGAGCUUAACUUGGAAACUGCCAUUGAUACUAUCAGUCUUGAAUAUUGUGGAGGUCAGCGGAAUAUGUCAUGUAGCGGUGAAAUGCUUAGAUAUGACAUAGAACACCAAUUGCGAAGGCAGCUUACUAAACGAUUAUUGACGCUGAGGCACGAAAGCGUGGGGAUCAAACAGG
rnacentral:rRNA from 1 species